UACGGAGGAUGCGAGCGUUAUCCGGAUUUAUUGGGUUUAAAGGGUGCGUAGGCGGAUCGUUAAGUCAGUGGUCAAAUUGAGGGGCUCAACCCCUUCCCGCCAUUGAAACUGGCGCUCUUGAGUGGAAGAGAAGUAUGCGGAAUGCGUGGUGUAGCGGUGAAAUGCAAAGAUAUCACGCAGAACCCCGAUUGCGAAGGCAGCAUGCCGGCUUCCGACUGACGCUGAAGCACGAAAGCGUGGGGAUCGAACAGG
rnacentral:rRNA from 1 species